rnacentral:rRNA from 1 species
UACAGAGGUCCCGAGCGUUGUUCGGAUUCACUGGGCGUAAAGGGUGCGUAGGCGGUGAGGUAAGUCGGAUGUGAAAUCUCCAAGCUCAACUUGGAAACUGCAUUGGAAACUACCUUGCUAGAGGAUUUGAGGGGGGAUUGGAAUACUUGGUGUAGCAGUGAGAUGCGUAGAUAUCAAGUGGAACACCAGUGGCGAAGGCGAAUCCCUGGAAAAUACCUGACGCUGAGGCACGAAAGCUAGGGGAGCAAACGGG